AUUGAACGCUGGCGGCAUGCCUUACACAUGCAAGUCGAACGGUAACAGGUCUUCGGAUGCUGACGAGUGGCGAACGGGUGAGUAAUACAUCGGAACGUGCCUAGUAGUGGGGGAUAACUACUCGAAAGAGUGGCUAAUACCGCAUGAGAUCUACGGAUGAAAGCAGGGGAUCGCAAGACCUUGUGCUACUAGAGCGGCCGAUGGCAGAUUAGGUAGUUGGUGGGAUAAAAGCUUACCAAGCCGACGAUCUGUAGCUGGUCUGAGAGGACGAUCAGCCACACUGGGACUGAGACACGGCCCAGACUCCUACGGGAGGCAGCAGUGGGGAAUUUUGGACAAUGGGCGCAAGCCUGAUCCAGCGAUGCCGCGUGCAGGAUGAAGGCCUUCGGGUUGUAAACUGCUUUUGUACGGAACGAAAAGCCCUGGGUUAAUACCCUGGGGUCAUGACGGUACCGUAAGAAUAAGCACCGGCUAACUACGUGCCAGCAGCCGCCGUAA
rnacentral:rRNA from 1 species